UACGGGGGGGGCAAGCGUUGUUCGGAAUUACUGGGCGUAAAGGGCUCGUAGGCGGCCAACUAAGUCAGACGUGAAAUCCCUCGGCUUAACCGGGGAACUGCGUCUGAUACUGGAUGGCUUGAGGUUGGGAGAGGGAUGCGGAAUUCCAGGUGUAGCGGUGAAAUGCGUAGAUAUAUGGAGGAACACCGGUGGCGAAGGCGGCAUCCUGGACCAAUUCUGACGCUGAGUGAGCGAAAGCCAGGGGAGCAAACGGG
rnacentral:rRNA from 1 species